rnacentral:rRNA from 1 species
AUUGAACGCUGGCGGCAUGCUUUACACAUGCAAGUCGAACGGUAACAGGGAGCUUGCUCCGCUGACGAGUGGCGAACGGGUGAGUAAUAUAUCGGAACGUACCCAGAAGUGGGGGAUAACGUAGCGAAAGUUACGCUAAUACCGCAUACGAUCCACGGAUGAAAGUAGGGGACCUUCGGGCCUUAUGCUUUUGGAGCGGCCGAUAUCUGACUAGCUAGUUGGUGAGGUAAAGGCUCACCAAGGCGACGAUCAGUAGCUGGUCUGAGAGGACGACCAGCCACACUGGAACUGAGACACGGUCCAGACUCCUACGGGAGGCAGCAGUGGGGAAUUUUGGACAAUGGGCGCAAGCCUGAUCCAGCAAUGCCGCGUGAGUGAAGAAGGCCUUCGGGUUGUAAAGCUCUUUUGUCAGGGAAGAAACGGCUGUGGCUAAUAUCCACGGCUAAUGACGGUACCUGAAGAAUAAGCACCGGCUAACUACGUGCCAGCUGCCGCCGUAAAAC